AUUGAUUUUUCGAAUCCUUAAGACUUAAGCAAAGGUUGUCACGAAAGGGGGUAGUCAAUGCCCACAUGACUCGAGAUUCCUUCAAUGAAUGAAUAAAAGUUUAUAACGGCAUUUUAAGCUAACUGCUUACAUGCUCGAAAUGGUGGGUCUCCUUACAAACUGUUUAAGUUGCUUUAGGAAUACUUUAGAGAUAUUAGUCGUUAUAGUUCCGCUUAAAUGACAUAGAAAUUACUAAUAAGGUAUGUUAAGGACGACUGAGCUAAACCGGGGUGAAAGCUGAGAACAUGUUUUUGCCACUCAUUGUGAGAGAUAUAAUACCAGUUAUCAAUCGACUAUCGAUAGGUUGGCAAAUGAGGCGUUACACGUGAGAAAAUAUAGAUCACCACUUUGUUGGGAUGAAAUGACUAGAUGAUUGAAAUCAUCCGUCAAAAUUUGAUAGUGAAUAAAAUAGGGGCCAUGAUUGACAGAGUCAUAUGUUGACAAAUGACAAAUUGACCUAUGAUGUGAAAGUGGAGAGAUAAUUUCCAUAAAAGUUUCUCCAUCAAGAGAAAUCAUUGGACUCAAUGUGAAGGGUAAACCUAAACCCCGUUUUAUAGGCUCAUACGAGAUUGUAGAAAGGAUAGGCCCAAUAACUUACUGUUUGGCGUUAGCGCUAAGCUUUGAGAAUGUGCGUAAUGUAUCCCAUGUGUCGCAAUUAGAGAAAAAUGUUUACGAUUCAAAACAUAUGAUCCAUAAGAACAACAUUGUUAUUAGUCAAUAUUUGAGUCACGAAGGAAGAUCCAAAUCUAUCUUAGAUCGGGAAGUUCAGGUACUAAGGACUAAGUCGAUACCGAUAGUAAGGGACCUAUGAAUAUAACAUGGUCAAGAAUAGACUACGGUCUAACAAGAAAGUGAAGUACUCAGAGUUGUUUUCUGCGGUACAAAUUUCGGGACGAAAUUUCUUUUAAGGGGGAUAGUAUGUAAUGACCCGACUUUUUAUUAAGGAUUAUAUACUUUUAAAUUACUGAUUUAAGGAUUGAUUAUGGUAAUUAGGGAUCAGCAUCCAUUAAUAAAAUACGAACUUAUAUGAAUUUGAUAAUUUAUAUAUGUGAUGAUUUAUUUUUUUUUAUUUUCAAUAGAUGAUGCACUCAAAAUAUAUUUUGAGUCCAUUAAUUUAUUGUGGAGAAUUUAACACUGAAGUGUUAAAUAUGAAUCUUUUAUCGAUUGUUUACUUAAGCCCAUGAGUAAUUUAAUUUAUGUUAGAGGCAAGCUCAAGUGAAUUUUAUGCUUCAAUGAGAAUUAGGCUUAUAUAUCUUAAUGUGUUUAUAUGAGAUUAAGCACAUAUGGUUCUCAUUCAUCCACAUCCCUCUCAUUCUUCUAUUAAACCAAUCACCAAUACGUUCACAAUUUUCUUCACCUACUACUUCACAAUUUUCUUCACCAAUACGUUCACAAUUUUCUUCACCAAUACGUUCACAAUUUUCUUCACCUACUACUUCACAAUUUUCUUCACCUCUAAAGUCAAUCUCCAAAUAGAAUUUUGCUUCUUUAAAACCUAUUCCACUAUCUCAACUCACCCAUUCCCACCUCUGCAGCAAGUUUUAUAAAGUAAUAGAGUGAAGAUUAUUCAUCUCAUUCAAUUCUUCUUCACAAUUGGCUUCUAAUCUAUGCCAUAUAUAAAAUCUGCAGAGACUAAUACCAUACACCUAUUCAAGGUUCAAAUAAACAAAAGCGUCUGAGUAACCUAUCGCGCUAAGGAAAGAGAAUCGUUGUCUUAAGUAGCAAAACACUGCAAUCAGGUGGGCAUUACUUUUACUAUACGUAUAUAGAGAUCCCCUGCGUGUCGUAGGCCUCUUAUACGAAUGAAUGCAUGAGAUGAUUUAACUGUUAAUUUCAGUUUUAUAUAUCUAUCAAACGAAUUUAAUGUUACAUUUAAACAAGAUAUUUCAUUACAAAAUCAUUGAACUGAAAAUUAUUUCAAUUGUUGUCUUGCCAUAAAUGUUUAAAUUUUAGUAUGAUAUCUAUCUGCUUUGGCUUUGCCAAUGAUGCAAUCGAAUUCGGGUCCUGAGCAGUUGAUAGCUAUCCUGCCAGGACUAGUGUACACCAGUGACCGUGAGUCAUCUAGCGGGUUGGCCGGUCAAGUGACCGUGAGAGGUGGCCACCUCUCCGGCACACAGUUCUAGAUAUGAUAGAUUACAAGAGAACUUAGUCUGCAGACGAACUUUAAGAAUCACAAAUGAACUUAGUAAGCUUGGGCCUUUUUAGCGAAAAACUCCCUUGCUGUACUGUUUAUGAUGGCAUGACAAUUUACAGUUUUGAAGCAUGUAUUUUUAUACCUAGGCAUACGUGCCCACUGAGUGCUUUUGUACUCAGCCCUGCAUAUGUUUUCUAAAUGUGCAGGUUGAGCUGAUGUGAUGAUGGUGCUGCAAUGAGCGGAGUCUCCAAGGUUGUUAAUAAAUAGUUAACCUGUCUAGAAUAUGUCUUCAUACAUAUGUCUAGCUACUUUCCGCUGCAAGAUGUUGUUGAUGUUAUAGUAUGUUAUGUCAUACUUUGAGUCUUAAGAGAAUGGUUUCAUAUGAUGUAUAACUUGAUUAAUGAUAUUAAUUAAGUUUUAUGCUGUCUUUCAUAGACUAUUUUCAAUUGAGUAUUCAUGAAUAAAAAUGACGAGUUUUAUUAA